AUCUACCAUGGCAGAGAUUGUAGAACAAGUUCAGGAGAGAGAGGCAGCACAUGUAGGUUACUGUAUAUCACAGUCAUGUAGUAUCAGCUCAUCUUUCUUUUUGUGUUUGGUAUAAAUUUUCUCUUUUUCAAUUGUCUCUCUCAGGCACGAGGAGAGCCUUAUCGGCCUCCUAGCAGCCUCUCAGCACCUGUGACUCGCUUUGAUGGACGUCCUCGCGCCCGUGACCGCCCUAAACCCAGGAGGAGGCCCCGUCCAAAAGAGCCCGAAGAGACUCGACGUUCCCGCUCAGCCCCAGCAACUGGGGCCCCAACAACACCCCAGCCGCCUUCACACACUGCCCAUAACGAAGGAUUCCUCUACCGCAAAAAGGCCACCAGUUCUGACCUCGAAGCUCAGCAGAGGAGCCCAAACAGCAAGUCGUGGGUGAACGUAUACUGUGUGCUGAAAGAGGGACAGCUGAUGUUCUACAAGGAUGCUAGGAAUCACACCACAACGUACAAUGGAGAACCUCCCGUCGACCUCACUAACUGCUCAUUUGAUCCUUCAAUGGGAUACAAGAAAAAGAAAAAUGUCUUCAUUCUUCAAGUAAACGAUGGAAACAACUUUGUGUUCCAUGCAAAAGAUGAGGAGGACCUAAAGGCCUGGACUUCCAACAUCACCACCUGUAUAACUGAGCAUGAGGCCAUGGUCAAGUGGGACAAGCCCGGCACCUCCUCCAUGGAUGGCGACCGCUCAGAGAGGAAGGAGAAGUCGGAAGGGGACGCAGAUGCCAGGUCAGAGAGGUCUGAGCUCGCAGAGGGGGAGGAGAGGUCUGAGAAGGAGAGGUCAGAGAAGGGCGACGGCUCUGAGAAGUUAGACACAUCGGAAAUUGCUGACAAGUUGGAGGGUGGGGCAGGGGGGUCCAGCACCUCUGGAAAGAGCAAAUGAGGACCCCCUGUUGUGUUUCAAUGGUACUUACUGACAAAAGACAUAGGAGGCAGUGGGUGGGAGGUAAGGAUGGAGAGCAUGUGCAGUUAGGUUUGCAGAUCCUCAGUGACAGAGCUGGAACACACUGAGGCCACGGUCCAUGGACUGACUAUUGUAACUGUGACAGACUAAUCUCUCAGCCCCUCCCCUUCACCCAGGCAAUACAUCAGUGCUUGCAUUGUGCCACCUGCUGGUAGAUAGGAGGUUGGCCCAGACAGACAGACAGACAGACAGACAGACAGACGGACGGACGGACAGAUGGACUCCAACAAUUGGUCCCAGGAAUUAGUCACUGUUACAUCCCAUUGUUGAUCGUUUAAUCUCUUGGAUUCACAGCAUCCUUCUGUAUGUAUCUUUGACUGAAAAUGUAAUGCUCUGUCUCUCUAGACAAACCCAAGAAGUGGUGAAUGAAAUGUUUCACAAUAUUAAAAAAAGAAAAAGAAAAAAAAAGUUUUUUGAAGCAAUAUACUUUUUUAUUUCUUCUCUUUGUUAGAGAGAGAAAAAGGGGAAACAGAAACAAAAAGUAAUGUAAGAAUCAAAUGUAAACUCUAUGAUUUGUCACAUCCAUGUAAGCUUACUCCAGGCAGUUGUGCACCUUAGACACCUGACACAUCUGUAUACUAAGCAUAACAACAUUUAAUCCCAUCACACAGCUAGCUUUGAAUCAUGUUAAUAUAAUGGAAUGCUGGUGUUACCACCUGACAUAAUCAGUGUCAAUGAAUACACAGAUUCUUUCUUUUCGGUUAUUAUUAAUAUUAUUCAUAUGAUUUGUCCACAAUGAGCCAUGUCAAGAAAAAAAAACAGAUUUUAAUCCAUUAACCCCAAGGUGUGUUCAGAGUGGCAAUGCUCAGAGUAUCACUCAGCCUGUGUGACACAAUGCCUUUGUAUACAUGACAAAAAUCCGAUCAUUGCAUGAAAUAGUCUAGUGCACCUGUUAAACUUGCCUUUUUUAUGUUCUUGACAUAAGUUGAG
ensembl:lncRNA